ensembl:lncRNA LINC01572 long intergenic non-protein coding RNA 1572
ACUCUGGGAGACGUUUGAGACCCAGCGUCUCUAGAUCUCGUAUUUGAAUUUGUGGCGCUUGGUGUCCGCGAGUUGCCGAAUGAAGCUGAGCGUCUCAGUGGAACCAGGGAUCUCAGGGAGGGGAAGGUAUAAAAUUUUCAAAUGGAGGAGUAUACCUGAACCUAAUCAUGGAUGUGAUUUUAUGUAAGUAAUAUGUGAGAUACAGAUAAGCUGAUUCUAAAACUUACAAGAAUGGCAAAGAAACAAGAAGAGCUUAAACUGUGAAGACUGAAGCCUUAGGCUAUGGCAGAAGUUGGGCGCCUGAAGUACACGUGGAAAUAUGCCAACUGAACAUUGGACUACCACGUCAAGGGUCUCCUACCCCUGGGCCAUGGAUCAAUACCAGUCUGUGACCUGUUAGGAACCGGUAGCAGGAGGUGAGUAGCAGCCUAGCGAGCACUACUGCCUAAGCUCCACCUCCUGUCAGAUCAGUAGUGACAUGAGAUUUUCAUAGGAGCAGAAACCCUAUUGUGAACUCCAAACACAAGGGAUCUAGGUUAUGCACUACUUAUGAGAAUCUAAUGCCUGAUGAUCUGAGGUGGAACAGUUUCAUCCUGAAACCACCGCCCCCAUGUGUGGAAAAAUUGUCUUCCACAAAACUGGUCCCUGGUACCAAAAAGGUCAGGGACCACUGCUGUAGGUAAACCUGCACUGGUACAAAAUGACAGAAAUAUACACAGUCAUUUAUUAUAGCAUUGUUAUAUUGUUAUAUUGUUAUUAUAGCAUUGUUGCAUGAAUACAGGAUUGGAAAUAAAUCAAGGAUCUAGUAAUAAGGGACUGGUUGAAUAAACC